rnacentral:rRNA from 1 species
AGAGUUUGAUCCUGGCUCAGGACGAACGCUGGCGGCGUGCUUAACACAUGCAAGUCGAGCGAAGCACCUUGAAGUUUUCGGACUAAGAGGUGACUGAGCGGCGGACGGGUGAGUAACGCGUGGGUAACCUGCCUCAUACAGGGGGAUAACAGUUAGAAAUGGCUGCUAAUACCGCAUAAGCGCACAGCAUCGCAUGAUGCCGUGUGAAAAACUCCGGUGGUAUGAGAUGGACCCGCGUCUGAUUAGGUAGUUGGCGGGGUAACGGCCCACCAAGCCGACGAUCAGUAGCCGACCUGAGAGGGUGACCGGCCACAUUGGGACUGAGACACGGCCCAAACUCCUACGGGAGGCAGCAGUGGGGAAUAUUGCACAAUGGGCGAAAGCCUGAUGCAGCGACGCCGCGUGAGCGAAGAAGUAUCUCGGUAUGUGAACUUCUAUCAGCAGGGAAGAUAGUGACGGUACUUGACUAAGAAGCCCCGGCUAACUACGUGCCAGCAGCCGCGGUAAUACGUAGGGGGCAAGCGUUAUCCGGAUUUACUGGGUGUAAAGGGAGCGUAGACGGUGUGGCAAGUCUGAUGUGAAAGGCAUGGGCUCAACCUGUGGACUGCAUUGGAAACUGUCAUACUUGAGUGCCGGAGGGGUAAGCGGAAUUCCUAGUGUAGCGGUGAAAUGCGUAGAUAUUAGGAGGAACACCAGUGGCGAAGGCGGCUUACUGGACGGUAACUGACGUUGAGGCUCGAAAGCGUGGGUAGCAAACAGGAUUAGAUACCCUGGUAGUCCACACUGUAAACGAUGAUUACUAGGUGUGGGGGGUCUAACCCCCUCCGUGCCGGAGUUAACACAAUAAGUAAUCCACCUGGGGAGUACGACCGCAAGGUUGAAACUCAAAGGAAUUGACGGGGGCCCGCACAAGCAGUGGAGUAUGUGGUUUAAUUCGACGCAACGCGAAGAACCUUACCAGGUCUUGACAUCCAACUAACGAAGCAGAGAUGCAUUAGGUGCCCUUCGGGGAAAGUUGAGACAGGUGGUGCACGGUUGUCGUCAGCUCGUGUCGUGAGAUGUUGGGUUAAGUCCCGCAACGAGCGCAACCCUUGUGAUUAGUUGCUACGCAAGAGCACUCUAAUCAGACUGCCGUUGACAAAACGGAGGAAGGUGGGGACGACGUCAAAUCAUCAUGCCCUUUAUGACCUGGGCUACACACGUACUACAAUGGUCGUUAACAGAGGGAAGCAAUACCGCGAGGUGGAGCAAAACCCUAAAAACGGUCUCAGUUCAGAUUGUAGGCUGCAACUCGCCUACAUGAAGUUGGAAUUGCUAGUAAUCGCGGAUCAGCAUGCCGCGGUGAAUACGUUCCCGGGCCUUGCACACACCGCCCGUCA